rnacentral:misc_RNA from 1 species
AACGCACCUUGCACUCUUUGGUAUUCCGAAGAGUAUGUCUGUUUGAGUGUCAUGAAACUCUCAACCCCCCUGUUUUGUAAUGAAACGGGCGUGGGCUUGGAUUAUGGCUGUUUGUCGGCGUCAUUGCCGGCUCAGCUGAAAUACACAAGCAACCCAUUUGAAAUAGGCGGUUUGACUCGGCGUAAUAAUUAUUUCGCUGAGGACGUCUUCUUUAAAGUCAGCGGUGCUUCUAAUGCGCUUUUAAUUAAGCAUCUUAAGCUUUAGACCUCAAAUCAGUCAGGACUACCCGCUGAACUUAA